GAGUUUAUCAUAAUUUUUGUGUCCUCCGGCUGCUCUCAUUUUUCAUCCUAUAUAACUUUCUGUUGUUGGUAUAGCUGGUAGGUUGUAGGUACCUAAAUAAUGAAAAAAUGGUGAGCAAAAUGUUCGAAUUCGAGGAUUUUUCGCAGGAUCCUAGUUAAAGUAGGUACAGUUGGGCGCGACACGUGGUAUGGUGAGGACAUACAUUCCUUUAAUCCCAAAAUCGUAAAAAAAAAUAAAACAGUGUUGCUUUAUGCAUUCUUAAAUCAAACAUUAUAAUCUAGAAACAAUAACAAAUGAAAAACUAAAUAACUAUAUUAUAGCUUUAUUUCAUUUGUGCAUAUUUUUAUCCACUGCCCCCGAGCGCGUAUCGUCUUCAAAUUAAAAAUAAUUAAUUUUCUCCUCUCUCCGGUUAAAGCUCUUUUUUGAACUCAAUUCCAAAAAAACAAAUAAAAUAAAAAAUAACAAAAACAACAACAACAACAUAAACCAAAACGAAAAGGAAAAGAGAAAAAGCGACCGAAUUUACAACAUCCCUCCAAUACGCCUCCAUCCGCUGUUGCUGCUCCCCGCUCACGGAUACCAUUGAAACGAAACGAAACAAAACGAGAAAAAAGGAUGUAAUCCCAAAUGGAUGCUUUACGCUUUAAGUUAUAAGCAAAAACCUCUCCCUUAUAGAUCAAGGAGUUUUCCACCAUUUGCCACGAAACAUCGUGCAGCAGCAUCUCAUCUCAAUCGGUUACUCUCGAUGAACUUAGGCGGUGGUGUUUCUAGCAAUGAGAGGGUUGAAUUUAUUUUUUGUUGAGAAGAAGAAAAAAAAACUACCCCAAAAUUAUUGUGUUUUUUGCAACUUUCCUAAUCAAAUUUAUCGGCACUAGAUGUUAAGUUGACAAUCGCUAUCGUUACUUUGGCGUCAGUGGACAGUGUUGUAUGUUACAUCCUUGCAAAAGAAGAGUGAAGUUUUGUGAUUUUUCACCUAGUUUCUUGAGAGUGUGGUUGAGCUAUACAGCAUCAGGUUUUGAGGUACCUUGGAAAUAAAAAUGAAAAUGGUGCUCUCGAAUAAAAAAAAUUAAAAAUAUCAUACACAUGUACAUAUAAAAACACACAGGCACGCAUACUAACCCACUAUCAGCCACCUUUUGUGUCAAACAUAGUAUACUUAUAUACACAUAUAAAAUUCAAGUGAUGAUCCUGCUCCCCGACUCCACCAGCCCCCAUUCGUACUUCAAACAACUGCUCAUACCUCAUACCGUUUUCGUGUCUCUUCUAUGAAAAUAGUGGUACAUGCGUAAAUGUAAUAAUGAGUAUGCUGCUGCUGCUGCUGCUUCUGCUGGAUGGAUAAAUCUUCUAGGUGGUGCGUCUCUCAAUCUAUGAAUCCUCUUGUAUUCCGUUUUCGUCCUUUCUUAUACACGUAGAAUUUCCCGUAUUUUUAUAUUUGAUUUUCCAAUCGUCUGCUAGAAAAACAAAAAAAAAAUCAUAGAAAAAAACUGUAAAUUUUGAAGCAUAUUUAAUGUUUUUGUUUUGUUGUUGAUUCUGUUCAUAGCUUAUAAAUAAAUGAAAUUGCACUUUUCCGGUAAUAUUCAUCAAAUCAUCGUGUCGCCGCGGCUAAAAAAGGAUUUAAAUCAAAUUAAAAGUAAACGUGUAUGAGAUCUCAAAGAUUGCCAUUUUAUAAAUCAUAAAUGACGUGAAAAAUUGUUGUUCUUAUUACGUGGUAAAAAUUGAUAGAUGUGAAUAUUGUUCUGUAUACCCUCGUACUUGUUUUUUUUUUUUUUGUGAUUUUUCUUAAUACUCGUAUGAAAAUAUAAGUUUUCCUCCUUAAAUUCUAUGGAAACUGACCCAAAAAAUGUCCGAUAUUGUAUAUUUUCGAGUGUAAAUAUAUCAUACACAUAAAAUUGAGUACAUACAGAUAGGAAAAAAAGUGUAGCAUCAUAAUCGAAAACAUAUAAACCAAAGUUUUAAGACUAAUUUAAUACACAUACAGUAUAAUAAAUAAAUUAAAUUAUCAAUGUGAGUGAGAAAAUAUAUAAAAUAUAAGUAAACAAAUUAUAAAUAUAAGGUUUCCGUGUGCUUAAAAAUUAAUAACAAAAUAGAAUAUAUGAAUUAUUCAAGUGUUAGUGUUGUGAUGGUUAUGGAAAAAUUAAAUAUGAAGUAGAUACAUGAUGAUUAUGGGAAAAAUAACAAAAAAUUAUUAAAACAAAAAGAAAAUAAAAACGUAACAAUCGAUAUCUUGGAGUAUGAUGGAACGACGAAUUUAAAGGAUAAUUCAUGAAUCUAUUUUCUAACUUUCAAUAUCAUCGCCACUAAAAUUAUGAAGGAAGCGUAACAUUCUUAUCAUCUUUUCAUAUAAUAAAAACCAAAAACAGUUACUAAAUAAUUAAAAAAAAAAACAUUUUUGCACUAUAAUACAAAAAAAUAAUAACAAAACAAUAUCCCGCAAGCCAAAAAUUAAAUAGUCUGUCGAAAUUGAAUCAGCAAGAGUUAAUAUUAAAUAAAAUUAAUGAAUUAAUGAGCAAGAAUAAGUAAAUACCUUUAAUACCAUCCUAGAACACUGCAUACAUAAUAUAAAAUACAAAAAAUAGAGAAUAUCUUAAAUUAAUAAUAAUAAUAGUAAUAUUGAUCAAUGCGCUCCAUUGUUUUAGUUACUAACUUAAAUAAUAGUAAUAAUAAUAAAUCAGCGUCGUCGUCCUAUUCGAAUGGCAACGAAGAAUUAUAAGAGUGCGUUUAAAUCAUAGCGUUCUACUUUAUCAAGCAGAAUCGCUAUCUCAACAGUCGUCAUGAGAAUCACUGCCCCGUUUAGGGCUCUUAUGAUAGCCCAUCUAUUUUAUUGCGUUGCACCUGCUGGAGAAGCUGAUUACACACUGGACGAUUCAUUUUGGAAUGAAGAAAGUCCUGUUGGUGAAGUCGAACGCCUUCUAAAGGAGUACAGACAAAAUCAGGAAUUGGUUCGUCGUAUCGGCGGCCAUUAUUACCAAAUAAUUUAUCCAGUACAGCUACGGCAUCACGAAAAGAUGGGCAUAUCGACGAGAGAAGUUAGCCCACCAAAGCCGGGUCAGCGUCCAGGACGACCACACGACGAUGGUGGGUUUAGCAGAGGAAGGACAAAGAAACAUUUUCACCGAACCUCACUAUUAAUUAAGGCAUUUAAUCAUAAGUUUCGCUUGGAUCUGGAGUUAAAUUCGCAACUUCUAUCGCCAAAUAUCCAGCAAAAACAUUAUCAUGUUGGGGGAUAUCUUGUGGAUGGUAAUAGACAUGAUAUCGAACACUGUUAUUACCAUGGCACAGUUAAGGAUUAUCCAGGAGCCAGCGCUGCGUUUCAUACGUGUAAUGGCGUUAGCGGUGUUAUACACAUUGGCAACGAAACAUUCGUAAUACAUCCCUUCUAUGGAGGAGAUCUUUCGAAGCAUCCACAUGUGAUAUUUGAGGCGCGAACUAAAGCCAAUAAAGGAUGCGCCAAUUCUGGAAAUCUAGAAUCGUGGCGUUUGUCACGUCGCACUAAACAUUUAUCGGGCGUCAUCGAUGAUAUUCAUCCGAAUGGUGCCGGCCGAUAUAAACGGGAUGUCCGUGAGGCAACAAAAUAUAUUGAAACAGCAAUUAUUGUUGACAAAGCAAUGUUUGAAAAACGAAACGGCAGCUCACGGGCUGAUGUCAUCCAUGAUGCUAUUCAGGUCGCGAAUAUUGCUGAUUUGUAUUUUCGCACACUAAAUACCCGAGUAUCAGUUGUGUACAUUGAAACUUGGGGCAAAAAUCAAGCAGUCAUCGAUGGCAGCAAGGAUAUCAGCAAGGCAAUAUCGAAUUUCAAUGAUUAUACAUCUAGGAAUCUUUUUCAAAUCGAAAGAGAUACCACUCAACUACUAACGGGUGAAACGUUUGCUGGAGGCGAAGCUGGUAUGGCCGUGCCAGAGACUGUUUGUACACCGCGGGCGGUUGGCAUAAGUGUCGAUAUCAAUGUUUAUGAGCCACAUCUACUAGCAGGAACGAUGGCCCAUAUGAUUGGACACAAUAUUGGCAUGGGCCAUGAUGAUGGACGUGAAGAAUGCUUUUGUCGAGAUUGGCAUGGUUGUAUAAUGGCGCAGUCAAUUGUUGGACAGGAAAAUGUUCAGCCGUACAAAUUUUCAGAGUGCAGUAAAAAAGAUUACAUUGAUGCUCUAAGAACUGGACAUGGACUAUGUUUGCUGAACAAACCCAAUGAGAUUGAAAUGCGAAGAAAUUGUGGCAAUAAGAUCGUAGAGGAGGAUGAAGAAUGCGAUUGUGGAACGUUCGAGGAAUGUGCCGUGGAUCCUUGCUGUGAUGGAAUAACCUGCAAGUUGAAAACAGAAGCCCAAUGUGCCACUGGAAUGUGUUGUGAUAAGUGUCGGCUCCGCCCAAAGGACUUCAUCUGUCGAGAUUCCAUUACCGAAUGUGAUCUGCCCGAGUAUUGUGACGGCGACAACGGGCAUUGUCCGGUCGAUGUCUACAAAAAGAACGGGUCACCAUGCGGCCAUACAAAAGCAGGAACAUCCGGUUAUUGCUUUCAAGGCGACUGUCCAACAUUAAGUCUGCAAUGUGAGGGCAUUUGGGGUUACGGUGGUUCGGCGGCUGAUCGUCAGUGCUAUGAACAAUUUAAUUCCAAAGGAUCCAUAAAUGGUCAUUGUGGUCGAGAUGCCAACGAACAUUACAUUAAAUGUGACCCCGAAAAUGUACAGUGUGGUACGUUGCAAUGCAAAGAAGGCGAACGACAACCAAUUAACGAUGGUAUUGAUCAACUCUAUUCUCGGACGAUUAUAUCGAUCAAAGGAGUCGAAUACGAAUGCAAGGCAACAAGCGGUCAAGUGGGCUCCAAUGAAUAUCCAGAGCAUGGUCUCGUUAAGGAUGGCACCCCAUGUGGAGAUAAUUUGAUUUGUGUGAAUCAAACGUGUGUUAGUCUAUUUCCACACAUUGACCAGACCAAGUGUCCUGCCAACAAACAAGGACAAGAAUGCUCUGAUCAUGGGGUGUGCACGAAUACAAAUAGAUGCUUCUGUGAUAUGGGCUGGGGAGGAAUGGAUUGCAGCUUGAUUGUGAUACUGACAACACCAAUGCCAACACAAGCCUUACCAACACCCGAAAAUACAAUCAAAAUGGAGAAAAAAGAAACGCCAUAUGAGAACUACCACGGCUCAAAUACAGUGUUCUUAGUUGGUGUACUAAUGUCAGUUGUUGGGUUCGUUUUUGUAACAUUCACCUUGAUGGCACUGUGCUACAGGUCAGUUGUAGUACAUAGAAACUUCUCCCUGUGUCUGAGGAGGAAGACAACCACAUUGAAGUAUGAUCCGCCAUAUUUGAAAAAGCCCAUUGCCAAGGCUGGAAACGCAGCUAAUCAUCAUUCGGUGGAAGAGGUUUCAUUGGAUGGAUCUAGCAAAUUGAUGUAUCAAAAUCAAACCGGAUUUAGAGAUCACAAGACUCCACAGGUCAGACGAUUGACUGCAAGUAGCGAAGAAGAUCAGGCACAUUCAGAAAAAGGAAUACUGAAAAAGCAUGGAUAUGGAUUGGUCCUUGGUGAUCAAGCGAACAAAUGGGAAGACGGUCAAUCUGAUAACCUGGAACUAAUUGCUCAACAAGAUGGCACGCUGGCAGCAGCAACAGCAUCUGGUGCUGCAGUGUCUGAAGUUGAGCGAACCCUGAAAAGCCUUAAUGGCUACCACGAGGAUAUAUUGGAAGCUCUACGAAAUGCAGCUUCACAUCGUGGUACAGGUGCUGGGAACACUCCUGUGGGCAGUGGUAGCCUCAGCGAAGAGAUGCUCCGCAAAACACUCCAAGAGUGCUCAACGUCACAGCUCAGCUAUGGCGAAUACAAGCGCAGCAGCUCAAAGUCCGGUUCCAAAGAGAAUAUUUGCGACAUAAAUCAACCACACACGGUGCUGGUGGAGGGGCCCCAGGCCGGUGCAAUAUUGCAUCAUCACCGAUCGCAGCACCAUCUGCCCGAUGAAGAUGAUGCUCCAGCGACCGGCCCGCUGCGAAUAAGAAACCUAGAAGAUCUAAUUAGACAAUUAGAGCAUCAUUCAGUUAGGCAUAUGAGCCCUAGUGGCUCCGAGGACAAUCGAAUGUCCGAAACGGAAGCCGACCGCCAUUAUAGAUUAGAUAGUUCCGCUGCUUGUAGUGAAUCCUCGCAAGGCUCCAACCAACAAUUAGCACAAUCACAGAAAACUGCAACAAUACAUCCGUCUUACAGCAGAAGCUGUCGCCCGCGCUCCGACGAAGAGAGUCGCUUUGUUUAUGGAAGGUAUAGGCAUCCAACAACUAGUAGACAUCCUCAUCAAUCACACUCACCUCAUGCUUUUGGCCAUCAUACGCAUCAUUCUCAUGCCCAUGGCCAUGCCACACAUGGUCCACAUUCAUCACAUCACUCGUCGCAUACGCAUCUGCAUCAAGAUGAUGAGGGCAUCUACGAGAGUGCCGAUCAUCAUGAUAGGACCGUAGAUGCCCGGAUUGAUCGUGAAACUCCCGAUAGUGAGAGUGAUGACUUUAUUCAAGCUCAACAACAGUUAGCCCGGUGGGCGAGUGAGGAUGUAGUAUCCGUCGUGGUAUUGGACCAUCAACAAGGCACAAUGUCGGAUUCCCAACAACCCGGCGUCGGACAAUUGUCAACGGCCUCAACGAGUUCCGUUAUCCACCACCACGGCGAACCAUCAUCAAUGGGGGCGACAAAUGGUUUAAGUGUAAGUCAGAGGGACUUUUACCCCUCACCACCAUCGACCGAAACGGAGAGCAGCGGCAGUGUAAUUCAGCCUCAAUUGAGGCGCGCCCACAUAGAAUCAAACCAAAUAGGAGACGGACAAUUAAUGGAGAAUGGACGCUAUCCUGAAUACAAACACUGAUAAUAACUGUUUGGGGUCAAUAUAUCCGCCCCCUACGUGUGAUGAUUUAACUUAGAUAUGUUAUUUAUUUUAAAUUGAAACAAAAAAUUAAUAAACAACAAAAACACUAUUAAACAUACAAUUUUCUAAAAAUAAUAACAAAUACAUAUACACACAUAUGAAACUUAUAAAAAUACAUUGCAAAUAAACAAGACAAAAAUUAAAGUAAUAAACCAAAGAGAAAAAUGCAAUUUAAUUUUAAGGUUAGGCAAAUAAAAUUUAACUCUAGAUAACACUUAAUUGCACAACACAGUUAAUGUUCAUAAUAUUUAAAAACAAAAUUCUAUAGAUAUAUUCAAAAAUUAAAAAAAAAAAAAACAUGUAAAUGUAUAGAACAUAACUAAAAAUUAUAAAAUAGUAAUUAAUUAAAAAAAAAUACCACAAGAGUUAUAUCUACGGACGAAACAAAAACAAACAUUAAAACAAGCCACAAUAUCGUCGUAUCGGUAGCACUGGACAUUUUUUUUACGAAAACAAAAAAAAAAAACAUUAAAAAUAGUGAGUAACAAAAUAAAUUUAAUAUAAAGUCAAUUUUAUAUAGAAAAUUAAUGUAUUUAAAACCUUGAAAAUUUAAAAAAAAAAAAACAACAAGAAACUAUUUAAAUUACACGAAGAAUUUAAUAAAAAUUCAGAAACAACACAUGUGAAAAAAUGUAAUUAUUUUAAAAAAUUGUAGCUAAAUACCAGAAAAAAUUAACAAAUAAGAUUUUAUUUCAAAACGAAAAUAAAAAAAAAAGAAUGAAAGCCUAAAUUGUGUAUUACGAACAAAAUAUAUAAAAUAUUUAAAAAAAAAAAAUGUUAACAGUAUUUUAAAAGAAAAAAGUAUUAAUUAUUGUGAACCAAAUUGGUUCGCCUGUUUAAAAUAACAAUUAUUUUAUAAGUAAACUAUAAUAUAAAAUUAAAAAGCAAAAAUGUGUAAAUAUGUUUAGGUUUAGUAUAUAUACCUAGAUAAAUCAAAAAUAAAAAAAAAACCUUUAUAAGUAAUUUUAGAACAAUACAAAAAAAAAAAUAAGAAAUUUUAAUAUAAAUGUACACAAAUAAAAUAGAUCGAUUUUAAAAAUUUGAUCAUGUUAUUAACACGCAGUAUUAUAAUUAUUAUUAUAACAUGAAAAUAAAUACAUAGGUGAUGCAGGAAUAUAUACUUAAACAAACAAUUAGCACAGUUAAACAGAACAAAAAUCAAUUUUUACACGUAAGUAGAUGGUGUAGUUGAAGUUGUCCUCAAAAUCGAUUGAAGUUCAACGACUUAUUUUACAAACAAUAUUAUAUUUUACGCCAAUUACCCUUCGUUGUCUUCUAUCAAAGCUUAAUAAUAAACCUGUAUUUUUUAAUAUUCUUUUCUGCUUAAAAGAACCUAAGAGCAAAACUUUAGUUCAUAUUAUUAAUCCGUUUUAAGUAAAUAGGUUUUUUUUAAGGAUCAAAUGAUUGAUUCUAUGUUUCUGAGAUUUAUUUAGAAUUUUUCAAAGCAACACGUCCUUGUUAAAUUAAAUGUUGAAACGCACUUUUGUAGUUCAUUAAGAAAAGGUCCACAAGGUGCUACUCCUUAGUCUCAAAGUAAGAAGGAAAAUUAGUUCAUAUUUCAAGUAAAUAGUUCUUGCUGCUUUUUUGUAAGUAAAUAGUGUUACAGUUAUUAUAAUUUCACUGUCUUUCAAUAUGUCUGGUUGCUUGAGUGCCUAAAUAUUAAUAGUUGACCUCAGAAUAACAUAUUGAACAUGACAAUUAAAGGAGCAUAGAAUCCGUAGUUCUAUUGUUAUUUAUUUUUUUAAAGGAAAAGAUAAAAUAUGCUAUCAUAUAGCCUAAAACAUCGUAAAAAGUCCAAUUUUGAAUGUGAUUUGUAAUUGAUUUGGCGUUGUGUUUGGUAGCUCAAAAGUCCUCUUCACCAAAUAUCGUUGAAGUUGAUCGACCUCAUCAAAGUCGUGAACACAUUUGUUUGUGAGGUUGUUUGAAACACUCAAUAAUUCGCAGCCGGAUCAUUCCUCCAGGUGACGUCUAAGACAUUUUUCGUUUUGCUAGCUUUAAAUCAACAUUUUGUCUUAUAUUUAAAUUUCUAGUAAUGACCCAAGUAAAUAUAUCAAUAUCCCGACUUGAUAAGCGCCAGUUUUCGGUAGACAAUGUCUCCCUUCUGCUUGCCGAAAGAUCAUAGGUUUUGACUCGAAAUAGUCAGUCAGUCUGUUAGUCAUCAAUAGUUAAGUGCAUGUAGUCUUUAAAAAAAUGUCUUAGGCCGAUUUCUACUUUAAAGUCUUGAGAUAUUUAAUUUUCUUUUACAAUAGCGAAGGUUGUAUGGGUAUAUAGGCUUUCAAUUAUUUUCCCAAAUAUCAUAGACAUUCCUUUGUUAUAUAUCUUUAGCAUUAAAGCUCUACGAUCUAUCCAAUCAAAGGCUGCUCUUAAAUCUAUAAAAAAAAUUACAUUACAUACAUGUUCCCACGAUAUUGGUAAGUGUAUAGAUUUGGUCUUCUUCUUCCUGACUUUCACUUAAAAGGUUGUCGUUUUGUACCCAGCUCUAUAAUCAAUUACAUAGUAUUUUUGAAAUAACUUUUAUCCAUAGAUUAAAUUUUAAAUUUAAACUGACCCUGAAUGUAAGAUACAGUUGAAUAAAGCUGCAAGUUGUUACAGUCACAUUCUAUAGGCUGCAACUUGUGGCUUUUAGGAUUUUGAAAACUAGAGCAAUUUCGUUCCGUUUUUUUUAUAAAAUACAAAUAGAUACGAGUAUUAUAUUACAUUAAUGUUUAAAUAAAGAAACCUUAACUACAACAGGAUUUUGUCCUUUUUAAGAAUCUUAGACCAAGCCUUGUGAUGUGAUUUAAAGUUUAGUAAGAGAACGAGUAUGUUAAAGUUUAGUUUGCAUAAAGAAGGGUCUUACAGAACAUUGUUUAAGCUAAUUCAGUCAGUUUUAAAUAUCACACAUUUUAACUCACACAAAAGAACAAAACAAAUAUAAAUUUUUGGCAUUGAAAUGUUUGCUAUAUCUACUGCUAAAAGUCAAGGUUUUUUUCUAACUAAAAUGCAAAAAAAUAAUCUUAAGCUAAAUAGCUGAUGCAAUAACGUAAUAUAAUAUUAUUACAGUUUCGAUUGGAUUUAAUUUAAUUAUGCCUCUUAAACAACUUAAAUUGCUUUCAGUAGAUUGUGUCCUUUACACAAUCUCAUCCUUAAAAACAGAUAUUUAACGCUAAAUAUAAUACAAUUAAGACAAAGAAAAAUAUCUCACUUCGUGAGAUUUUCUUACUAUUUCAUUGAAUUCAAUUCGAAUUGUUUUGAAGAUCAACGUUAGGACAUAAAGCACCCUCGCAAUUAAAUCCAAAUAAACUACUCGAUUAAAGGACCGAUGUUUUAAAAAUUCUUUUAUAACAAUUUGCUUUUUUUACCCAAUUUUAAACUCACAACUUUACCACUACUGAAAUUCAAACACAGACAAAUAAUUAAAUAAACAAAAAAAAUCAAAUGUAAAUUAUAUUUGCUUUAAAUAAUUCCAAUGAUACAAAUUAAGAAAAUCAAACAAACACAAUUAUUAGGUUUUUAAUAAUUUAAUUUUGUAAAAUAUUCAAAUGUACAUAAUUAAAACAAAAUAAUACAAAACGUGUAUAGAUAAAAAUAUUAGAUAAACAAAAACGAUACAUAAAAGAACAUUUUGUUAUUGUUGUAUAUCAAACUUAAAAUAGAAAAAAAACAUGUUCGUUUAAAUUGUAAGUUUAGAUAUUAGAACAAAAAAAAACUUAAAAUAACACAAUUCACAAAAUAAUAUCAUUAAGCAUUGGAAAAAAUAGAACUUUAUAAAAAUUAAUAAAAUAAAAGUGUUCCACAAAAAUAAAACAAAACUACAAACCUGGUUUUUAAAUUAUAUAAAAUAAUUUUCAUAUAGACAAAACAAUAACAACAUGCAUUUUUUAAAUAAAACAGAUAGAAAUUAAAUUAAACAAAAAGAUAAUACAUCAUCAUUCUUUCAUUAAAAACAAAGUCCUGAGUAAAAAACAAAACCUAACUAUUAACUACAUGUAUAUAAAGAAAAACUCAAAUUCAUACUUUUUAUACCACAAUUGGAUGAAAACAUUAAUUAAUCACAAACAAAAAAAAAAUCAUCCCCAUUCAAAAAAAAAUUAAUACCAAAUUUAAAAAAAAAAACAUCUUUUUCAUACAGAAUUUUUCAUUCAUAAAGAAAAAAAUACGAUAUCAUUUCAAAGAAAUCAAUUGAAUAAUUUAAUGAAAUCUUUUUUCAGAUUCAAUCAUCAUAUCAGGUGAUUUUUCGUGUUAAAGUAAUCCGUUAAUUUGUUUAAUUUAUUUUACAUUAUUUUUUAAAGCUAUAGGUUAAACCAUUGAAUAACUUGUAUUAGAUCAUAUUUAAAGAAAGAAAACCUCAGACACCUUGUGGAGAAUAAAUAAAAUAUAUUAUCGCUAAGUAUAAUUGAGACAGACUGACAGACGAGAGACACCGUCGGUCGUCGAGUCGUCGUCGUCUUCUAUAUGAUAUAUGAAAGUUUUUAAAAUUAAGAAGAAGAUAUUAAAAAAUAUAUCGAAAGAACAGACAGUGAUCUUAUGAUGAUAGCAAAUAUAACAAAAGAUAAAUUUGGAGCCGCUUAAAAGCUUACAAAAGUUUAAAAAAGCCUCGUACAAUUCUAAAUUUUAUUCGCUUUUGUUACACACAUAAUGUGUUUCAAAAUAUGUAUACAAACAAAACAACAAUGAUACAAAGAAAUAUACAUAAAAAUACAUUUGUAUAGAAAAUAAAGCAACAAAUUAAUAUAAUUGUAAAUACAUUAAGGAUAAUAAUUAAUUUAUUUUAUUUUAAAUUUAUAUUUUUAUAUUGUUAUAAAUAUUUUUGUGUUCUAUCUUUUGUUUAUUUCUUUUUUUUUGUGUUCUACAAAAAUUCACCUGGUAUCUUGAGUCAAAAAUAAAUUUUGGAAUUUAAAAUCCUCCUGCAUAAAUUCGCAAUAAUUAUUUUCUUAUAUUAAAUCUGAAUCAACUUCACUGUUAAAUAGUAUUUAAUACAAUCAAAAAAUUACACAAAUCACACUAAAAGAAAAAAAAAUAAAGUUACGAAAAUGAAAUAAGUAAAAUAAAAAUAGACAAAAUAAAACAAACUUAAUCAGUUAAACAAAAUUUAAAAAAAAAACUACAAGAGUAUGAUUAUUGAGCUUAAAUUAAAUCUAAAACAAAAACUAACGUGGACAAAACUCUGUAACAGACCCAAAACACAUAACAGGAAAUAAAAAUAAUAUCGUAAGAAAUAGUUAGAUUAUUUAAAUUAAGUACACUAAUCUAAUAAGCAACCAAACAAAAACAAUAAAAUAUGAAAGUAUUUUAUCUAAAACCAAAACAAAACUAAUAAAACAUAAAAUUCUAAUGCAGUUAAUCUAAAAUCAAACCAAAAACCAAACUCCAAAUAAAAGUAAAAAAAAAGAAAACUAAUCCCCUAACUCAAGUCUUAUUUUAAUUUCGUUAUAGCAAAAACCAUACUUAGAAAAUCGUACAAGAGGAAUUUUUAAAUUUAUACACCAAAUCUUCUAGAGUAUCUAAUUAAAAACAAAAAAAUUAAAAUUAAAAUACAUACAAAUGAAAAAUAAAACAUUAAAUAAACAUAAAACAGGUUUUAAUGAAUUUAAAACAAACUUUUAUAUAGAAUCAUGUUGUUGCAAAAAUGGAAAGUUAAUAACUUGAAAUUGUAAAAAAUGCGUAAUCACGUAUUAUUAUUAGGUAUUUGUUUUAAAAUCAAAGGGAUUCAUUUUUAAUAAAUAAACGAGUAAUAGUUAAUUUUGAAAUUAUAUAAAAAAACUACCAAUAUCAUCUAACAAAUAAAAACAAUAUUUUUUUUAUAAUGAGAAACGAUUUUGAGCGUGUAAAUAAAUUAUUGUAUUAAUUAUAGUAUACAAAAUAAUUAAUAUUUGAUUUGCUUUUCUUUUUUCAUAAAUAUUGUACAGAAUUUAAUUUAAAGUAAACCUAUGUUUUUAGAACUGAAAAUAUUACUAAAAACCGAUGAAGAGGGAGAUUAAAAAUACCAUAUGUAUUUAAAAAUGUUACCGUUAAAGGUGAACAUAAAAGUGAGAAAAAAUAUAAAAACAUUAAAAAAAAAACAUUAUGAAAAUGAUAGACUUAAGAAAUAAAUUUGAUUAUAAAAUGUAUGGUGAAUGGAACGUUAGUUAAUAAUUAACAGACUUACAGAGAUAUUCUAAAAUGAAUUUAAUUUAGUGUAUAAAAUACUAAUUCGUAAGGUAAUGUAAUGUGUAUGAAAAAAAAAAACAAAGUUACAAAAAAAUGAUGAUAAUAUUGUAUGUAUGAACUAUUGCAGUGAAAUAAAAUAAUAAAAAUAUUUAACAAAUUACAAGAAAACCAUUCAUCAAACAACCACUCACUAAAACAGGAAACAAUGUUAAUGAUCUAUUAGUUACAAAAUGAAAACAAAAAACAAAAACAUACCAAACAAACAAAAUAAAAAAAAAAUCAGCAAUAUAUAUUCUGGAGCUAAAACAAAUUAAUUUUACUAAACUGUAAUUACAAUAAAUCUGCGUUUUCGAAAUUUCAACAAUUCGAAAUAUACAAUUUACAUAAAUUCCAAAAAGGAUCCAUAAAUUCAACAACAAUAACAACAAAAACAAAUAAUACAA